GACGACCGCCGGUCCCCCACCUCCCGCACUCCGUCCAUCCCCAACUCCCACCCACCAACUCCCCGGUGCCCCCACCCACCAGCCCCCGAAACCGCCACCGUCGUCGCCUGUAACCUCGCGUGCGCACUCUGCGGGCCGGGAUCCGUCUGCCCUAGCAUCCAUCCAUCGCCUCCGCCCGCUGCUCCUCGCCUAUCUCCGCGCGCUGCCGCCCCACCUUCCCAGCCAUCCCCUCCGCGCCGCCGCCCCACCUCACCUUCCCCGUGCAACGUCGCAGCCCUCCCUACCUUCCCUGUGUGAUUCCGCCGCCCCACCCUGCCCCCAACCGGCGCUGUAACCCCAGGGCCGCCCUGCCCCACCCGCCCCAACCGGCAAGGCCGCCGUCACCUUGCCACAACCGGCACCGCUGCCGCACCACAUCCCCGAUGCCGGAGGAUAGCACGCGCCUUCACCUCCUCCAUUGACGGACGCCACCGACACCUGCUCUCGCAGGGACUCACUCCCGCGGCAUGUCUCUAGGAGCAGUCGUCGGAGUCCUUAAUCACUUGCACUACUUGCUUUUAGCAUCUUAUCCAUGGAGUCAACGCACUGUGUGGUGUGCAAUCUCGUUUUUGGAUGGGGCGCUGUCGCGACCACCAUCUGCCCUGAGCUCUGCAUCCCGUCCGCCGCCAUGUCUGCGUUGCGUCCUCACGGCCUCCGCGGCCAGUCCCCCAACACCCUCCGAGUGUGCCCUGAGCAAGGCAUAUGAUGUGUGCUAAAUGUGUUUGUUCAUGCACUGAUGUGUGUGCGUGCUAGCGUUUGUGUGAGCGCUGGGUGUGUUGCUUGCGUGUUGUGAUGUAUGAUGUGUAGAUUUUUUUCUGAAGUUCAUGUUGUGAACCCAACUAAGUUUGAACACAAAUGAUCAAAUCACUACUGCUUUGAAUUUGCUCAUGUAGCAGAAAUCUCGCUUCCCUGUUGUUGUUAUGACCAUGUA